rnacentral:rRNA from 1 species
GCUCCUUCUGGUUUAGCGGCGGACGGGUGAGUAACACGUGGGCAACCUGCCCUGCAGAUCGGGAUAACUCCGGGAAACCGGUGCUAAUACCGAAUAGUUUGCGGCCUCUCCUGAGGCUGCACGGAAAGACGGUUUCGGCUGUCACUGCAGGAUGGGCCCGCGGCGCAUUAGCUAGUUGGUGGGGUAAUGGCCUACCAAGGCGACGAUGCGUAGCCGACCUGAGAGGGUGAUCGGCCACACUGGGACUGAGACACGGCCCAGACUCCUACGGGAGGCAGCAGUAGGGAAUCUUCCGCAAUGGACGAAAGUCUGACGGAGCAACGCCGCGUGAGUGACGAAGGUUUUCGGAUCGUAAAACUCUGUUGUGAGGGAAGAACAAGUACCAACUAACUACUGGUACCUUGACGGUACCUCACCAGAAAGCCACGGCUAACUACGUGCCAGCAGCCGCGGUAAUACGUAGGUGGCAAGCGUUGUCCGGAAUUAUUGGGCGUAAAGCGCGCGCAGGCGGUUCUUUAAGUCUGAUGUGAAAGCCCACGGCUCAACCGUGGAGGGUCAUUGGAAACUGGAGAACUUGAGUGCAGAAGAGGAAAGUGGAAUUCCAUGUGUAGCGGUGAA